rnacentral:other from 20 species
GGAAAGCUGCUGUGUUGGUGACUGCCAAUAAAGUUUUUUGAUCUAUGCUUUGAGUUUAAGGGCGUUAACCAGCUAUCGUGGUAGUAAACCGAGCUUGUACUCGGAAACAGAAACGAUAAGCGGUCGAUACCCACCUGGUUCUUCCAGGUCAUAAACUGAGGUAAAACGGCACGGCGGUUUUUCA